rnacentral:rRNA from 1 species
CAGUCGCCACGGGAACACGGAGGGUGCAAGCGUUAAUCGGAAUUACUGGGCGUAAAGCGCACGCAGGCGGUCUGUCAAGUCAGAUGUGAAAUCCCCGGGCUUAACCUGGGAACUGCAUUUGAAACUGGCAGGCUAGAGUCUUGUAGAGGGGGGUAGAAUUCCAGGUGUAGCGGUGAAAUGCGUAGAGAUCUGGAGGAAUACCGGUGGCGAAGGCGGCCCCCUGGACAAAGACUGACGCUCAGGUGCGAAAGCGUGGGGAGCAAACAGGAUUAGAUACCCCGGUAGUCCCUGUCUCUUAUAU